AUUGAACGCUGGCGGCAGGCCUAACACAUGCAAGUCGAGCGGAUGAGUGGAGCUUGCUCCAUGAUUCAGCGGCGGACGGGUGAGUAAUGCCUAGGAAUCUGCCUGGUAGUGGGGGACAACGUUUCGAAAGGAACGCUAAUACCGCAUACGUCCUACGGGAGAAAGCAGGGGACCUUCGGGCCUUGCGCUAUCAGAUGAGCCUAGGUCGGAUUAGCUAGUUGGUGGGGUAAUGGCUCACCAAGGCGACGAUCCGUAACUGGUCUGAGAGGAUGAUCAAUCACACUGGAACUGAGACACGGUCCAGACCCCUACGGGAGGCAGCAGUGGGGAAUAUUGGACAAUGGGCGAAAGCCUGAUCCAGCCAUGCCGCGUGUGUGAAGAAGGUCUUCGGAUUGUAAAGCUCUUUAAGUUGGGAGGAAGGGCAGUAAGUUAAUACCUUGCUUUUUUGACGUUACCGACAGAAAAAGCACCGGCUAACUCUGUCCCAGCCGCCGCAGUAACAC
rnacentral:rRNA from 1 species